ensembl:lncRNA
GCGUUGUGGGUUGUCGUCCCUCCGUCCAUGUCCUCUGACAACAGAGGCAUAACUGGGACGCUGCCCUGUGGCCUGGUAGCGUUGGCGAGAGCGGUACUGGGCUGAGCGGGGUCUGGGCCUUUCCCCCCGGGGCUGCCUGUAGCGAUCACGCCGGUAGGAAACCACCGUCCAGUCCUCUUCCCUGUUCUCACCACGCAUUCUGGGCCGUGGUGUGCUCGAGCUGUGAGAAGCAAGUGGGACUGAGGAGUGGGCAGGCUGGGUGAGUGUGUGGGCCCCUUGCAAACCCAGAGGGUGUCUGUGGAGGAUUUACAGGUGAUUAUUAGAUAGUUUUUUUCCUUUUUUCUCUCUUUUUUAAGGUAAAGCCUGGUAGGGAUUUAGGAGUGUUUGGGGUUUGAGAUGGGUGUCCUGGGGGGUGGUUAGGGUUAGGGAUAAAGUUCAGGUAGUGGUUAGGGUUAGGGGUUAAGGUCAGGGUCAGGGGUCAAUAAGAGGUAGGAGCCUCAGCUGCCUCCUCAUGUGCUCCGUUGCUCCCUUGCUCGUUAAAAGAUUUAUGGACAAAUAGAACAGUGAGAACUUGCGAAAUUCAAAUAGUACAUCUCCAAUUAGGGUUAGGGUUACCCGAUAGGAAUAGGGAUGAGUGCAACAUUAGACAUUGGUCUAAUGAGCAUGUUUCUCCUCACAGGAAGGUUGUAGAGAGUUCAAAGCAGGUUCAAUCUGUUCAUUUUUUUCCUUCCGCUUCUUUGGGUGUCGGUCUCGACUUCCGGCGCUAGGGUUAGGGUUAGGGGUUAGGGUUAGGGUUAGGUCUUGGGAAAGAAGACUGUCCCCUGUAGGGAACAGUGGGUGCACUCUCCUUCCACCCUCUUCCUCCCCGGUCCUGAAACGGUUGGCGAGCUCGCCCGCGUCUGCCACCCCGUUGGACCAGGGUCCAAUCAUCAUCCAGGUGGCGUUCGCUCGCGACGUUUCGUCCGCUUCUUGGGACUUCUUCAGGCUGCCAUGACAUACAGGUGGUUUUCUUGUGAUUUUAGAGGUAAGUAUCCCCUUAAAGUGAGGUAAGUAUUCCUAUUAGUUGAGGUAAGUAUCCCCUUUAGUUGAGGUAAGUAUUCCUUUAAGUUGAGGUAAGUAUUUAAUUUAUUUGAGGUAAGUAUUUAGUUUAGUUGAGGUGAGUAUCCCCUAACUAUGAGCCCCUCUGGGGAGAUGUGGCUCCCUCAGAGGGCCGUGCCAAACUGAAUUCAAAAAUGUCCGCUGCUCCCUUUUGUACUCUGAGCCCCUCCCUUUCUGAAAAUUCGUGUUAUUCCUCCAUUGUAGUGACUUUCUCCAACUGCCAUUUCCCAUGUCUUUUUUCAAAUUAAAAUCCUUUGUUUCUGGUUCCAAUUCUUUGCCUUUAAUUUAAAUAGUGUUCAUAUCUAUGAUUAACACAUUGUUCACUGGGUAUGUGUGCCUCCCUUUAAUGGCUACACUUCAUCCAUGGGAUUUAAAUGCCUACUUUAUUUAGUGGCUUCAUCCAUUAUAUGAGCUUAGAAUGUCCUUCACUGAGGUUUAAAGAUAAAUUAAGGCCAGUAUUUUGGAGCCAGAGUGGGGACUAGAUUUGAAUAGGGCCUAGGAUUUGGGGUUAGGGCCUC